AGCUAAUUAAGCAUCUCUCUACAUCACAAAGGAACAGUUCUUAUACACUGUUUUUCUCUUUAUUGAAUUUUAACAUUCUUAAGGUCACACAUCUUUUUCUGCCAAUAGAUACAAGAGAUAUGUGUAUCAAGAUAAAUGUUUCCUGAAAUGUUUUAUGUUUGAUUUAAAGAUGGCAAGCUUUAGCAGAAAAAAAAGUGACCUAUGGAUCAAGAGACAGACAUUUCGAAAGUCACCUAUCCUUAAUAGUUUUUCACUUGUGUUAUGAAGGACUUGAGCCAGGUGAUCCUCGAAGUAACUCCCCUCCCUAAAUUAGGGACACUAGUUCAUUAGUAUUGAAUUCAGGAGAGUUAUAGUAAUUUGUGUUUUAGCCAUAUAGCAAUCCAACGAGGUUGAUGGAUAUUGUUUAGUCCUAUUUUAUCUCUGCAGAUAUUAAGAUCUUAAUAAUCAUUGAUUCACCAAAUAUCUUAUAAUCAGAACCAUUUUGAAGGUUAAUCCCUUGGUUUGAAAAAUGUAUUAAUUUCCUAAAAGUUAUUUAAAAAUCUUUCAAAAGUAGACCUUUCAAAUAUCUCUUCAGUGAGUAUAUGGAGCCUAGAAUAGGCAGGAAAGUCUAGAAAAUGAAUAAUGACAAAGCUGAACGACUUGGUACCAGAAUUCAAGACUUAAUGUUAAACAAAAGUAGCUAAGACAGAGAGGUUUCAGCUUAAGGGUAGGCAGAUAAACCAAAGAGACAUCAUGGAGAGCCAAGAAACAGAUCCACACAGAUACGGUCACUCAAUUUAUAAUAAAAAUGCUACUGCAAUCCAGUGGGGACAAGAUAGUCUUCUCAAUAAAUGGAAAAAGGGAAAAGCUUUUCUUUACCUUGUGAGGCUUCAGUGGUGAAUUGGGUAUUUGGCCUAUGAAGUCCUAUUUUUCAUCAAAUAUAUUAUUUCUCAAAUACACAUGAAGGACCCAUUUUUUUUAAGUCAGUAAAUUCAGGAAUUCCCUAUUUCCAGUACAUAGAUUUGCUUAAGUAUCUUUCUUCUCUAAUACCUUUUAACUUCUCUCAUAGAAAAUCUAAAUCAGAGUUUAUAAAAUGAUAAGAUUAUGCAAUGUUUCACAACCGAGCUAUUUUAGUGCUUAGAAUAAGAUAUGGUAUAUAUUUCAAUAUAGUGUAUUAAAGUAUAUUUGUUUAAAAAUAGUAGAUUUUAUAUUGGAUAAAAUCUUAUACAAGGUACUAUAUAUAACAGCAGAAGGAAAAAUUUGUUAUUUCCUAUUUUCAGGGGGGCAACACGAGUAAUCAUUUAUUUGUUCCUUUAAAAAUCUUUUGAAUUUGAAAUCUGACUUUCAGAAUGUCUUAAUAUGUCAUAUAGUGUUCUACUACUCUCAGCAUGACACUUCAGAAAGUAA
rnacentral:lncRNA from 1 species